AAACAGGCUGUCAUCCAGAAAUCCCAGUUUGCUUCAGCUAGCUAAAAGGAGCACUGUGAAUUCUACCAACUGGAGACAGAGUAUUCAAAUAUAUGAACCGGAUGGCGGACAAGCUCAUUCAAAUGGCCACAGGUGGGAAGGAAGCUUUAUCAAGUUGAAAGGAAUACUUUUAUUUAGAAGCAUGUGGAUUCACUUUUCUUACUUCAAAUUGAUCCUUGACCUCUUGAGGCCAGAUCUAAUUUCAGUGUAACCAGGAGCCUGACCCUGUCAUAGAAGCUAACCCUUCUUUUGGAGCACAAAUGACCAAUGAGAUGAUCUCCAUAAAGUCAUCUGCCUCCAGCUUGACAGCCAUGCUCAAGCCAGGGGGCAAAAAAAUGCCACAGCCUUAAAAUAUCUUCACUCAUGAAUUAACAAGAAGAUACAACACACAGAUGAAAAGGACUAAGUUUUUAAGGAGCCAACAGGUAAACAAAAUCAAACAAUCUUAUUUCACAAAGGGAAAUCAAUGUUCUUGGAUAUCAGCCUUCCCAGAAAAAAAAAUACAAUUCAUCAAUGAAGUUAUUAAAUUAUACAUUGACUUAUCAUUUUAAAAGGUGGAAAUUUAAGGACAAGAAGUAUUUCAAGACAGAAUUAAUCCUCAUUUCAACAUACUUAGACAAAACCAAAACUGAACCAGCCAGAACAUUGCAUGAAUUCCGGGAUUAGGAGGAAUGCUGCUGUUUGCAGAGAUGGGCAUGUCCACAGUAUAUACACCCUCAAAGCCAUAAUGGAUAGCAGCAUUGGCACCAAUUCCUUGAAAAGUACCAGUGUUACAUCCUCGACCUCAUAUUGGUUGAGAGAGGAAGUCAGUUUGCACUGAUUACUUCUCCAUGCACUUCUGAUAUUUGCACAGUUGCUUCCAUUCAGGGUAAUGAAGUGUUUUGUUAUUUGCACAGAUGAUGCCACCAGUGUUGAGAUCACAAGAAGCAGCUUCUUGCAGGCAUCCAAAAGGAUUACAUGAGAAUUCUCAAGAUAAUGAGUUCUCUUUUUUUUUCUGGUUAACAAAAGUUACUUAAUUAAAGAAAUGAAUUUGUUUCUGAACCAAACUGUAGAAUUAUAAAGAAAACAUCAUUGUUGUCAAAUGAAUGAGAAUGAGAUAAAAAAGGUUUUUUUAUAUCAUUAAUAUUAAGAAGUUGAACACGGUAAACUGUGUAUUAAACAGUGAUAUUUAAUUCUGUUUGUUCUGUUAAUUCAAAAAGUCAUUUGUAAUUUGUAUUUGACAUGUAACAAUUUUAUAAUCAUUUCUCUCUAUGUUUCCUGAGAAAAUGUAUCAGAC
rnacentral:lncRNA from 1 species